GACGAACGCUGGCGGCGCGCCUAACACAUGCAAGUCGAGCGAGAACCGGAGCUUCGGCUCCGGGGACAGCGGCGAACGGGUGAGUAACACGUGGAUAACCUGCCCUCGGCACCGGAAUAGCCCGGGGAAACCCGGAUUAAUGCCGGAUGGCCCCACAUCCCUGCGGGGAACGUGGGAAAAGGUAGCUUCGGCCUCUGGCCGAGGAUGGGUCCGCGGUGGAUUAGCUUGUUGGUGGGGUAAUGGCCUACCAAGGCGACGAUCCAUAGCUGGUCUGAGAGGACGAUCAGCCACGCUGGGACUGAGACACGGCCCAGACUCCUACGGGAGGCAGCAGUGGGGAGUCUUGCGCAAGGGGCGAAAGCCUGACGCAGCGACGCCGCGUGCGGGAAGAAGGCCUUAGGGUUGUAAACCGCUUUCAGGAGGGACGAAGCCACUCGGGUGAACAGCCCAGAGGGUGACGGUACCUCCAGAAGAAGCCCCGGCUAACUACGUGCCAGCCGCCGCCGUAAAAC
rnacentral:rRNA from 1 species